rnacentral:tRNA from 2 species
GGGGCAGUAGCUCAGUUGGGAGAGCGCCAGAAUCGCAAUCUGGAGGUCGGCGGUUCGAUUCCGCUCUGCUCCA